rnacentral:piRNA from 1 species
UAGCUGUUUUUACAGGGUUGGAUAGG